GGGGGCACCUGAUCAGCAUGCCGCGUGAGUGAAGAAGGCCUUCGGGUUGUAAAGCUCUUUUGUCAGGGAAGAAACACCGGCUCUAACACAGUCCGGGAAUGACGGUACCUGAAGAAUAAGCACCGGCUAACUACGUGCCAGCAGCCGCGGUAAUACGUAGGGUGCGAGCGUUAAUCGGAAUUACUGGGCGUAAAGCGUGCGCAGGCGGUUAUACAAGACAGGCGUGAAAUCCCCGGGCUUAACCUGGGAAUGGCGCCUGUGACUGUAUAGCUAGAGUGUGUCAGAGGGGGGUAGAAUUCCACGUGUAGCAGUGAAAUGCGUAGAUAUGUGGAGGAAUACCAAUGGCGAAGGCAGCCCCCUGGGAUAACACUGACGCUCAUGCACGAAAGCGUGGGGAGCAAACAGGAUUAGAUACCCUGGUAGUCCACGCCCUAAACGAUGCUGACUAGUUGUUCGGGAUUUACAUCCUGAGUAACGUAGCUAACGCGUGAAGUCAGCCGCCUGGGGAGUACGGUCGCAAGAUUAAAACUCAAAGGAAUUGACGGGGACCCGCACAAGCGGUGGAUGAUGUGGAUUAAUUCGA
rnacentral:rRNA from 1 species